rnacentral:tRNA from 1 species
UUGCUGGUGGUCUAGUGGUUAAGAAUUCAGCAUUGUCACUGCUGUGGUUCAGGUUCGAUCCCUGGCCUGGGAA